GAUGAAGAACGUAGCGAAAUGCGAUACGUAAUGUGAAUUGCAGAAUUCAGUGAAUCAUCGAAUCUUUGAACGCAUAUUGCGCUCUUUGGUAUUCCGAAGAGCAUGCUUGUUUGAGUAUCAGUAAACACCUCAAAGUCUUUUUUUCUUGAAGAAAAAGACCUUGGACUUGAGCAAUCCCAACUCUUCUUUCAGAAGAGGCGGGUUGCUUGAAAUGCAGGUGCAGCUGGACAUUCUCCUGAGCUAAAAGCAUAGUCAUUUAGUCCCGUCAAACGGAUUAUUACUUUUGCUGCAGCUAACAUAAAGGGAGUUUGACCAUUUUGGCUGACUGAUGCAGGAAUUUCACAAGAGUCUUCAAAACGCUCUUGUUAAACUCGAUCUCAAAUCAAGUAAGACUACCCGCUGAACUUAAGCAUAUCAAUAAGCGGAGGA
rnacentral:misc_RNA from 1 species